rnacentral:rRNA from 1 species
UUUGAUCCUGGCUCAGAACGACCCGUUGGCUUGCGAUGCUUAACACAUGCAAGUCAGAACGAGAACGUCCCGGCUUGCCGGGAUUAGUAAAGUGGCGCACGGGGUGAGUAACACGUGAGUCAAUUUCCCUCUAAGCUUGGGAUAACACUGCGAAAGCUGGUGCUAAUACCGAAUAAGACCACGGUAUCACAUGAUGCUGGUGGGAAAAGGUGGCACAUCUGUAUAUGCUACCACUUGGAGAUAAGCUCGCGGACCAUCAGCUUGUUGGUAGGGUAAUGGCCUACCAAGGCUGAGAUGGUUAGCUGGUCUGAGAGGAUGAUCAGCCACACUGGAACUGAGACACGGUCCAGACUCCUACAGUGGAGAGCAGCAGUAGGGGAAUAUUGCGCAAUGGGGGAAACCCUGACGCAGUGACAGCCGUGUAGAGUGAUGAAGGUUUUCGAAUCGUAAAGCUCUGUCAGAUGGGAAG